rnacentral:rRNA from 1 species
UAUGUGAUCGUCUCUCGCAUAUCAAUAAGCGGAGGAAAAGAAACUAACAAGGAUUCCCCUAGUAACGGCGAGUGAAGCGGGAAGAGCUCAAAUUUGAAAUCUUAAAGGGUUUCCCUUUGCGAAUUGUAGUUUAAAGAAGUGUUUUCUGUUGAGGUUUUGGUAAAAGUUCUUUGGAAUAGGACAUCAUAGAGGGUGAGAAUCCCGUAUUUGACCUUUACUUUCAACUUUGUGAUACACUUUCAAAGAGUCGGAUUGUUUGGGAAUGCAGUCCAAAAUGGGUGGUAAAUUUCAUCUAAAGCUAAAUAUUGGCGAGAGACCGAUAGCGAACAAGUACCGUGAGGGAAAGAUGAAAAGAACUUUGAAAAGAGAGUUAAACAGUACGUGAAAUUGUCAAAAGGGAAGCGUUUGACACCAGUGUUGUUUUUCUGAAAAUCAAUUAAAGAACUGUUUAUGCUAAGUUGUUUAGACUUUAUCAGCUAUCUGUUUAGUUUUGAGCUUUUCUUUAAUGCACUUUUCAGUUAACAAGUCAACAUCAAUUUCUUUUGCUGUAAAAAAGCUUGAGGAAGGUGGCUUGAGAUUCGUCUUAAGUGUUUAUAGCCUCUUGCCUAUGCAGUCGGAGAGAUUGAGGUCUGCAGCGUAGAUCCUUCGGGGCUAAAUGCAUUCGUGCUAAGUUAUAGCAUUUUAUAGACAACUUGUUGACUAUGAUUUGUCUUGUAGCUUACUCGCUUAUGUUAUUUUACCUACGCUUAGGAUGUUGAGUAGCGACAUACGCAC